rnacentral:lncRNA from 1 species
GUGCACGUCCCCAGGGCUCUGGGCUAGGAAGGCAGCGGCGAGGUGCCUCCCCACGUACCCCUCGCGGGCCCAGCCGAGCAACGUGGGGCGAAGGCGGCGGCGAAGGCCCGGGCUGGGAGCGUUGGCGGCCGGAGUCCCAGCCAUGGCGGAGUCUGUGGAGCGCCUGCAGCAGCGGGUCCAGGAGCUGGAGCGGGAACUUGCCCAGGAGAGGAGUCUGCAGGUCCCGAGGAGCGGCGACGGAGGGGGCGGCCGGGUCCGCAUCGAGAAGAUGAGCUCAGAGGUGGUGGAUUCGAAUCCCUACAGUUGCUACUCUUUGAUUAUGACAAGGUGGAACUAGCCAAUAUGAAUAGACUUUUCUUCCAACCUCAUCAAGCAGGAUUAAGUAAAGUUCAAGCAGCAGAACAUACUCUGAGGAACAUUAAUCCUGAUGUUCUUUUUGAAGUACACAACUAUAAUAUAACCACAGUGGAAAACUUUCAACAUUUCAUGGAUAGAAUAAGUAAUGGUGGGUUAGAAGAAGGAAAACCUGUUGAUCUAGUUCUUAGCUGUGUGGACAAUUUUGAAGCUCGAAUGACA